rnacentral:rRNA from 1 species
UACGUAGGGUGCAAGCGUUAAUCGGAAUUACUGGGCGUAAAGCGUGCGCAGGCGGUUUUGUAAGUUUGUCGUGAAAUCCCCGGGCUCCAACCUGGGAAUGGCGAUGAAGACUGCAAGGCUAGAGUUUGGCAGAGGGGGGUAGAAUUCCACGGUGUAGCAGUGAAAUGCGUAGAUAUGUGGAGGAAUACCGAUGGCGAAGGCAGCCCCUGGGCCAAUACUGACGCCUCAUGCACGAAAGCGUGGGGAGCAAACAGGA